CACACCAGCAGCACAAUGAUGAUGUCACUGACUCUACUGCUGACCAUCCUGGGGCUCCUGGUUCAGGGUUCAUCAGGAGACAUAAUUAUGACUCAGACUCCAGGAUCUCUGUCUGUUGAUCCAGGACAGAGAGUCUCCAUUGAAUGUAAAGCUAGUGGAUAUGUCAGCAAUGAGGUAGACUGGUACCUCCAGAAACCUGGAGAAGCUCCCAAACUCCUGAUUUAUUGGAUAUCAAAUCGUCAGCCUGGAGUUCCUGAUCGUUUCAGUGGGAGUCAGUCUGGAGCUGAUUUCACUCUGACCAUCAGCAGAGUUCAGGCUGAAGAUGCAGGAGUUUAUUACUGUCAGCAGGAUUACAGCUUUCCGUUCACACAGUGA